rnacentral:rRNA from 1 species
CAGUCGCCGCGGGAACACGUAGGUGGCAAGCGUUGUCCGGAAUUAUUGGGCGUAAAGGGCUCGCAGGCGGUUUCUUAAGUCUGAUGUGAAAGCCCCCGGCUCAACCGGGGAGGGUCAUUGGAAACUGGGAAACUUGAGUGCAGAAGAGGAGAGUGGAAUUCCACGUGAGGCGGUGAAAUGCGUAGAGAUGUGGAGGAACACCAGUGGCGAAGGCGACUCUCUGGUCUGUAACUGACGCUGAGGAGCGAAAGCGUGGGGAGCGAACAGGAUUAGAUACCCCAGUAGUCCCUGUCUCUUAUAA